rnacentral:rRNA from 1 species
UACAGAGGUCUCAAGCAUUGUUCGGAUUCAUUGGGCGUAAAGGGUGCGUAGGUGGCGCUGUAAGUCGGGUGUGAAAUUUCGGAGCUUAACUCCGAAACUGCAUUCGAUACUGCGGUGCUUGAGGACUGGAGAGGAGACUGGAAUUCAUGGUGUAGCAGUGAAAUGCGUAGAGAUCAUGAGGAAGACCAGUGGCGAAGGCGGGUCUCUGGACAGUUCCUGACACUGAGGCACGAAGGCCAGGGGAGCAAACAGG